UACAGAGGGGGCAAGCGUUGUUCGGAAUUACUGGGCGUAAAGGGCGCGUAGGCGGCCCGCUAAGUCGAACGUGAAAUCCCCGGGCUCAACCCGGGAACUGCGUCCGAUACUGGUGGGCUUGAAUCCGGGAGAGGGAUGUGGAAUUCCAGGUGUAGCGGUGAAAUGCGUAGAUAUCUGGAGGAACACCGGUGGCGAAGGCGGCAUCCUGGACCGGUAUUGACGCUGAGGCGCGAAGGCUAGGGGAGCAAACGGG
rnacentral:rRNA from 1 species